UACGAAGGGGGCUAGCGUUGUUCGGAAUCACUGGGCGUAAAGCGUGCGCAGGCGGUGAGCUGUGUCCGAUGUGAAAGCCCCGGGCUUAACCUGGGAAUGGCAUUGGAAACUGGCUCGCUGGAGUGUGGCAGAGGGGGGUGGAAUUCCGCGUGUAGCAGUGAAAUGCGUAGAGAUGCGGAGGAACACCGAUGGCGAAGGCAGCCCCCUGGGCUGACACUGACGCUCAGGCACGAAAGCGUGGGGAGCAAACAGG
rnacentral:rRNA from 1 species